rnacentral:rRNA from 1 species
GAGAAACGGCUACCACAUCCAAGGAAGGCAGCAGGAACACAAAUUACCCACUCCCGGCUCGGGGAGGUAGUGACAAAAAAAAACGAUACGGGACUCUUUCGAGACCCCGUGAUCGGAAUGAUCGCAAGGUAAAAAGUGUUCGAAAGGAACGAUUGGAGGGCGAGUCUGGUGCCAUCAGCUGCAAUAACUCCAGCUCUGAUAGCUUAAGCUAAAUUUGUUGCGGAUGAAAAGCUCGUAGUCGGAUCUCAGCCCGGGACGGUGGGGCGCGUCAGCGCCCCUUCCGGACUCGCGGGCUCUGGCCGUUCACCGAACCGCGAUCUUAACCGGUCGUGGCGCGGGGUCCGGUCAGUUUACCUUGAAGAAACUGAAGUGCUCAAAGCAGGCCUGUCGCCCUGCACAAGUACGCAUGGAAUAAUGCAAGAGGGCCUCGGUUCUAUUGUGUUGGUUUUCGGAACCGGAGGUAAUGAUCGAUAGGAACAGACGGGGGCAUUCGUACUGAGACGCUAGAGGUGAAAUUCUUGGACCGUCGCAGGACGAACUACUGCGAAAGCAUUUGCCAAGAAUGUUUUCAUUGACCAAGAACGAAAGUCAGAGGUUCGAAGGCGAUCAGAUACCGCCGUAGUUCUGACCGUAAACCAUGCCAGCCAGCGAUCCGGUGCUGUUUGAGAAAGGACACGCCGGGCAGCUUCCGGGAAACCAGAGCUUCUGGGUUCCGGGGGAAGUAUGGUUGCUGAAA